GAAAUGCGAUAAGUAAUGUGAAUUGCAGAAUACAGUGAAUCAUCGAAUCUUUGAACGCACAUUGCGCCCGCCAGUAUUCUGGCGGGCAUGCCUGUUCGAGCGUCAUUACAACCCUCAGGCCCCCGGGCCUGGCGUUGGGGAUCGGCGGAAGCCCCCUGCGGGCACAACGCCGUCCCCCAAAUACAGUGGCGGUCCCGCCGCAGCUUCCAUUGCGUAGUAGCUAACACCUCGCAACUGGAGAGCGGCGCGGCCACGCCGUAAAACACCCAACUUCUGAAUGUUGACCUCGAAUCAGGUAGGAAUACCCGCUGAACUUAAGC
rnacentral:misc_RNA from 1 species